CAGCCUCCUCAUCACCUCCUGCACCCCGAGCUCUCUCUCUCUCUCUCUCUCCCUCUCCCUCCCUCUCUCUCCCUCUCUCCCUCUUCCUCUCCCCCUCCCCCUCCCCUUCCCCUCCCUCCCUCUCACAGAAAAUUUCUCUCUGUGCCGAAGCUGGGGAGGCCAAGGUCAAGGUGCCCACGGACAGGCAGACCUGCUGAGGACCUGCUCACUAGGACAGGGGAGGCAGCCAUAGAGUCACAGGAGACUCAGCGAGCCUGGUGCUGAGGCUCAUGCAAGCCAAGGGGCACCCAGGGCUGCUGAUGACCCCAGGAGGAGCCAGGCCUGGACAGAUGCUCCCUCAGAGCCCCAGGAAGGAGCAGCC
ensembl:lncRNA